rnacentral:antisense_RNA from 1 species
AACCAACAACAACCUUUUUAUUUUUCAUUUUACUCGAUAUCGAGUAAUUACUCCUUUUUCCACCAGGUCUAACCAGCCUGGUGGUUUUUUUG